rnacentral:rRNA from 1 species
CUGUAAGUAAGCUUUGAUCCAGAGAUUUCCGAAUGGGGAAACCCAGCAUGAGUUAUGUCAUGUUAUCGAUAUGUGAAUACAUAGCAUAUCAGAAGGCACACCCGGAGAACUGAAACAUCUUAGUACCCGGAGGAAGAGAAAGAAAAUUCGAUUCCCUUAGUAGCGGCGAGCGAAACGGGAAGAGCCCAAACCAACAAGCUUGCUUGUUGGGGUUGUAGGACACUCUAUACGGAGUUACAAAGGACGACAUUAGACGAAUCAUCUGGAAAGAUGAAUCAAAGAAGGUAAUAAUCCUGUAGUCGAAAAUGUUGUCUCUCUUGAGUGGAUCCUGAGUACGACGGAGCACGUGAAAUUCCGUCGGAAUCUGGGAGGACCAUCUCCUAAGGCUAAAUACUCUCUAGUGACCGAUAGUGAACCAGUACCGUGAGGGAAAGGUGAAAAGCACCCCGGAAGGGGAGUGAAAUAGAACCUGAAACCGUGUGCUUACAAGUAGUCAGAGCCCGUUAAUGGGUGAUGGCGUGCCUUUUGUAGAAUGAACCGGCGAGUUACGAUUUGAUGCAAGGUUAAGCAGUAAAUGUGGAGCCGUAGCGAAAGCGAGUCUGAAUAGGGCGUUUAGUAUUUGGUCGUAGACCCGAAACCAGGUGAUCUACCCUUGGUCAGGUUGAAGUUCAGGUAACACUGAAUGGAGGACCGAACCGACUUACGUUGAAAAGUGAGCGGAUGAACUGAGGGUAGCGGAGAAAUUCCAAUCGAACCUGGAGAUAGCUGGUUCUCUCCGAAAUAGCUUUAGGGCUAGCCUCAAGUGAUGAUUAUUGGAGGUAGAGCACUGUUUGGACGAGGGGCCCCUCUCGGGUUACCGAAUUCAGACAAACUCCGAAUGCCAAUUAAUUUAACUUGGGAGUC